rnacentral:lncRNA from 1 species
UUAUUCUCAGAGCUGCCUGGGAUUGUUUUAUCAGCAGUCAUUGUGGAUCGAAUUGGUCGUAAACUUUCCAUGAUAUCCAUGUUUAUGUUUGGUGGCAUCUUCCUCCUACCACUAGUUUUACAUCAGCAUGAAAUUAUAACAACUGGUUUAUUAUUUGGAGCCCGUAUGUUCAUCAUUGGAACAUUCACCGUCGCCAACAUAUAUGCUCCAGAGGUACGUACUGAAUAUCCACUUAUCUUGAAGGCUUUUGUUCAUUCUUGACUCUCUCUUUUAAAGGAAAGCUAUUGGAUAACAUAAAUAUGAUUAGAGAAACUCUUUUUAACUUUUAAUCAAAUUGAUUUUUUUGAUUAUGUUUUUCUUAAAUAUACCCAACCUCUGUGAGGGCGACUGGUGUUGGAGUUGCAAGUGCUGUGGGAAGAAUCGGUGGCAUGAUAAGCCCACUUGUAGCCGUCCAAUUGGUGACUGGUUGUCAUCAAGCAGCCGCAGUCCUUCUAUUUGAGGUUGUAUUACUUCUUUCAGCACUCUCUGUUCUAUUCUUACCUUUUGAAACCAAGGGGCGGGAAUUGGCUGAUAUUGUGGCUAUAUCUAAUUUAACUUGAAUCUGCAAUACUACUUGCGUGUAAAAUAUAGUGUAAAUGAAGAAUGAAUUUAUAGUCUUUCCGAUGCAUCAUCAGAGUUCUGCUCAAGCGCUAUGCAUGCUAAGAGGCGUGCGAUUAUGGGUAUCUAUUUAUGUCUGCAUAGCAUUUCUGCCAUUUAUAAGCAGGAAAGGAUUCAGAUUCAGUAGUGUGGUCAGUGGUGAAUGGGGAGGUCUUCUAACUCUAUUUUUUCUCAUGUAAUUUAAUGGUUGUGUCUGUUGGAAGAUGUAAUUAUCAAGAGUGGAUGAAUUAUGGGUGUUGAAAAUGAAGUGUAUAGAAAUGGAAUUUUUCUUUGGUUAGGCAUGGUGGUUUGUUGUACCAUUCAUUAUAGUUAUCUGUCACAAAAUUCGGUCCCCCCGAAUAAUUGUCACUAAAUUCGGUCCCCAUAUCCGGUCCUCCCAGAAUAAUUGUUUGGUGUUAUAUACGUUGCGUGUGCAAUAAGUAUAAAAAUAUAAUUAUUUUUGGAGUCCUUCUAUAUGGACAUUGGACAUUUUUUUUUUUUUUUUGUGACUCGUGUAUAGUAUUUAUUUGACAAGAAUUUUUAUAAAAUAUGAUAUUUUAGGUGUAAUUUGGAUACAUAUAGAAUUAUACAAUUGGUAUAACUUUUCUAAUUUUCCGGUCUAAUAAACCGGUCUUCCUAGAUUUUUCUUUAUUUUUGUGAUAAAAUAAAAUAAAAAAAUAUAUGAAACUAUAAUAAAAUCAAUUUUUUAAAGACAAAAGAAAAAAGAGACGUGUAACAUAAUCUAAAAAAUGAGAUUAUUAUUUAUAUUAUUAUGCUAUGGUCUUGAGGUGUACAAAAUUAUUAUUAUUAUUAUUAUUAUUAUUAUUAUUAUUUUAUUCUAUCCUCUUAUUAUUAUAUCUGGCGAUAAGUGGCACAAGUUAUUGAUGGGGCCGGAGAAGUCUUAAUCAAUCAGUCAGCCGUCGGAAGGGUUUAAUGUUAAAGCGAGGAAAGCUCUGCCUCAACUACUUCCUUCGAUAACUAAACAAGCAAAGCAAAGCAAAGCAAUCAGUCAGCCGUCGAAAGGGUUUAAGUUAAAGCGACUCUCAUCUCAGGGAAGAAGAAGAUAAGAAGGAAAGCUCUGCCUCAACUACUUCCUUUGAUUAUUAUUUGUUGCUUGCAAUCGGAAUUAAACCCACUGCUAAUAAGAAUCCCAAAUAUCUGAGCAAGCUACUUAAGAAUCUGAUGACGAAUCCCCAGGUACAUAAUCAAAUUGUUUAGUAUAAUUUAUUGAGUGUUUCAAUAAUCAGUGGAGUUCGUUUUUUUAUGGUCUGAUUAUUAUUUAAUAAUUUUUGGUUUGAUAUUUUUAGUGGGGAAGAGUACUUAUGCUCGCGCCUAAAGUUGAAACGUUAGAGGAGUUCCCAUUUGCAAAAUUUACGAUAUUAAGGAUACGUUUUUGUUUUAUAUUUUACAAAUAUAUAUGUAGGUGGUUGAUGAACAUGAUGGGCCUGUAUACACACUGGAUGAAGAUCUUGUUGCUGUUGGUUUGGGAAGUUCCAAAGUCUUGUGCUUAUUUAUGCCGGACUUGGGUCCAUUUCCGAGGCUAUGGAGGUGAUGAUUCUGUCUUUCAUAGGACCAUCUGUAAAGUCUGAGUGGAAUCUCUCCUCUACGCAAGAGAGCCUCAUAACAGCUGUGGUUUUUGCGGGCAUGUUUAUUGGUGCAUAUUCAUGGGGACUCAUUUCUGAUAAUUUUGGAAGGAGGCAAGUCCUUUCUCCAUUUCCAGGACCCUGUCUUUUAUGUAUGAGUGCAAAUUACCCUACAAUGAAAAUAUGUUCAAAAAAAAAUUCCAAAAUUUUCUGAUCAAACUGUUAGCUGUCUUAUGGCAUUUUGUUGUACCCCUCUUUUCCACUAUUUCCUUGUUGGAUGGGUCUAUUUUACUUGGUAUAAUUUUAAAAAAUUCACUUUUUAUUCUUUCUUGACUGAAUCUAUCAUAUCAUUUUGUUAUUUUUGUAGAUCAUUGUGUUUCUCAUAGAUUCCGGUUAGUAUUAUGGCCUUAUGGGUACACAGUCAUCAUCUUUACUUAGUUCUUCCCCUCCUUGAAACUAUUUCAAGUUUAUUUUUAUAACUAUUACAGAGUAUCUACUUUCUUUUGCCUUCACUAGGACUGGUCUUCUGAGCAUAGCCAUAUUGACUACUGGAGCUGGGUUUCUAAGUGCUUUCUCUCCUAAUUAUAUAUUAUUGGUCAUUCUUCAUUUUCUCGUUGGCAUUGGUCUGGGAGGUGGGCCUGUAUAUACAACUUGGUUUCUGGAAUUUGUUCCUGCCCCAAAUAGAGGCACGUGGAUGGUUAUCUUUGAGAUUUUCUGGACAAUUGGAUCAGUACUUGAGGCUUCACUUGGAUGGGUAUGUUCAUGAUUUCCUUAAUACACCUAAAUUGUCUUUCAAGUCACCUUUGUUGAUGCAAUUUCGUAUUAAUUCUAUGCUCACCCUCUCUACCACUUGGAGCUAGAGUUGUUUGUAUUUAAAAAGCAGGCAAGAAAGACUUCUUUAUCUUAAUCUGGGUUUUAAAAUCAUUUGACUUCAGUUGUCAAUCUCCACUUACAUGUAUGUUGAAGAAUCUUAUCCUUCCUCAUCAGUCUCAUCUGUAGCUUCAGGUAUUGAUAUUCAAAAAACAACUCUUCUUUUCAAAUUUUCCUUGGAGGAGUUGAAAGAGAUUUUAGUGGAUAUUCUCAACAGUCAACAAUUUGGUUUUCGUUGAUACUGUUUACCUUUUCUUUGAUUAAAACCAAGACCUAGUAAGAAACCAAUUUAUUUUUGUAACUAAUGAGUUGAUAUGCAUAUCGGGGGUUUGGAAUAAUAUUUCUUGUUCAAGAGGGAUUAUAAUAUAGAAUGAGGUGUGUCCUAGUUAGUAGGAGAGCAUCCUGACCGUGAUGUAAGGUGUGGUUAUGAGUUUCACUAGCUGCAUAAUGCAACAUGGGUCUCAUUAGUGCUGCAAUGAAGCCUUUCCCUCUCCUAUGAUAUCAUAGAUUAGGGCCAAAUCAUUGUGACACAAAAUUAAGGGAUUGUUUUGUUGUUCUGCAGAUCAUCAUGCCAAGAUUGGGUUGGAGGUGGUUGCUUGCACUAUCCUCUGUACCAGCUUUUGGAACACUUCUCUUUUAUGGACUUGCACCAGAGUCUCCAAGGUAUUUAUGUAUGAAUGGUCAAACAACUGAUGCGCAUAACAUUCUCGAAAGAGUAGCAGCAGUCAAUCGAAAGGAACUGCCUUCUGGCAUCCUCAUAUCUGGUCACAGCAGUGAGCAGGAUGAAGAAUAUGCUCCACUCGUAGAUAAUGAUUUAUCUCUCCUAGAAGGAAAGGAGGUGGUAGUUUCUAAAACCGGCUUCUCAAACCUACUGAUGCUAUUCUCACCAAAAUUGCGAUGAACAUCUCUUCUCUUGUGGGUGGUGUUCUUUGGCGAUUCAUUUUCAUAUUAUGGAAUUAUAUUGCUGACCUCACAGCUGAGCGGUGGGCAAAGUAAAUGUAGCUCAAGUCCCUUGCACUCAUAUAAUUCCCUAAACCAAGAUGCUACCCUUUAUACAGAUGUAUUUGUUACAAGUUUGGCAGGUAUGACAUAUAUAGAUUGGGUUUCUAAGUAUAUACUUAAGUUGAGAAUGUUUUUUGUAAUUAGGCCCUAUAGGUCUCUUCUUAUUACUCAAGAAAGAUUGGUAGUCAUAGCUUAUGUUAUUGUUUUUCCUCCUGUUCUCAGAGCUGCCUGGGAUUGUUUUGUCAGCAGUCAUUGUGGACCGAAUUGGUCGCAAACUUUCCAUGAUAUCCAUGUCUAUGUUUUGUUGCAUCUUUCUUCUACCGCUAGUUUUACAUCAGCAUGAAAUUAUAACAACUGGGUUAUUAUUUGGAGCCCGUAUGUUAUUGCUUGGAACAUUCACUGUCGCCAGCAUAUAUGCUCCAGAGGUACGUACGGAAUAUUCACUUAUGUUGAAUGUUGAAGGCUUUCUUUUAUUAAGGAAAGCAAUUGUGUUUUUCUUAGAUAUACCCGACCUCUAUGAGGGCAACUGGUUUUGGAGUUGCCGGUUCUGUGGGAAGAAUCAGGGGCAUGAUAAGCCCACUUGUAGCCGUCCAAUUGGUGUCUGGUUGUCAUCAAGCAGCUGCAAUCCUUCUAUUUGAGGUUGUAUUACUUAUUUCAGUACUCUGUGUUAUACUCUUACCUUUUGAAACCAAGGGGCGGGAAUUGAUUGAUACUGUGGCCAUAUCUAUUUUAUCUUGAGUCUGUAAUACUACUACCGUGUAAAAUAUAGUGAAAAAAUGAAGAAAAGAUUCCUAAAAAGCCUUUCC